AAUAUUGAAAUUGUUGGGCUUGCAGCUAUAUGCUGAGCUAUAUGGAAGAUUCGCAGUCAAGCUUGUUUCGAUAAAAAGCUCGUGAGAUUCCCUGCUGAAUUCAUAUGUUAUGCUUAUUCCUUUUUAGUACGAUAUUGGGCAGGCCUGCAAAACUCUGGCGACAGGAUGAUGCUGGAGCAAGGAGCAGAGCUGCUCCAGGAGGCUUUGGCACAAACAUGCUAA
rnacentral:rRNA from 1 species